CAGGGAUGUUUUAGUUGUUGUCCAUGAGUUUAGUUACAAAUCCACCAAAUUUUCCCACUUUUACCCUUCCAGGUCUCUCCUGAUCCCACCAGGGCUGAGCAAGGUGUGGGACUGAACUGCCAGUUGGGGUUAAACCGUCACAAAUGGGAAAAACCUGAAGUUUGUUUUUGGCAGAUCCCAGUGCUUGUGGGGAUUGUCCAGGGAGGGCACAAGGGCUGUUGGAAGCUGGGAGUGAAUGCAAAGCCAAAUUUCAUUCAAACAGAAACUGGAGGCACCGGGUAUCCCCUUUACAGGUAGGAACUGUGUGAUCUCUGCUCAAAUCUCCUGUUCCAAUCAGGGCUGACUUUAGAGGAAAAACAAAUUUUUGAAGGUCUCAUCCAUCUUGGUGUAGUCAUUCCAUAUAUCCAGGAGAUACCCAAGACCAGGUUGGAUGGAACUCAGAACAACCUGGUCUAGUGGAAGAUGUCCCUGCCCAUGGGAAUGACAUGAUAUUUAAGGUCCCUUCCAACCCAAACCACUCCAUGAUUCUGGGAUUCUUGGAAUAAAUGAAAAACCUCCCAGGCUCCCA
rnacentral:lncRNA from 1 species